ACAAGUAAUUGGAUUUUUUUUCUUUAAACAUCUCCCAUCCCUUAAGUAUGAAAGUUUUGUCAGGCAUUCCUCUGCUGCUAGUCUGUAGUACUGGCUGCAGCUUCAUUGAGCAGAGGAGCAUGAGGAGCAGUAUACAUAAGGGAGCCACAAGCUUACUCCUUAAGGGACCGCCUCCCAUUCAGGUGAGAAGCCAUGGAAACUAAGGAGGACUUUUUACUGGUGUACCUGCCUGUAGCCCAGAACUGUGAGCCACUGGUGGCAGUGGAGUCAAGAAAUUUCCUUUUAAAUCACUCUUUAGCUGGGUUGUGAUGUGCUCUUCUGUGCCAGACUCUGUUUAGGGUUUAGAGGUUAAAAUGGGCUUGUUCCAGUCCUAGCUUUAAGGUGAACGUUGUGAUACAGUAUCAGCUGUGUUCAUUUCAUGAAGCCUUGAAGCAGAAGCUUGUGCAGCUUCUAGCACUGCAGUAGGGCUUCAGAUCAUUAUGUCCAGCUUAUUAAUUGUUCUAUAAUUAUAAAUGACUUGCUCAUUAUUUGUACCAAGUAGGUUCUCCAAUUCCAGUGUUCUACGUAUGCUGUACUUAACAUUAAAGAGAGACUUCAGAACUACUUGUUCUACUGCUUUCAUGGUCUAAUUAGUUUGCUAAUGCAAACUACUUAAUUUUAUAAAUAAACUACAGCAGACUGCUGAUGUAGAAAUAAUUCUCUGGGUAGCUUACAUUGCCAAUUUAAAUGUCUGUUUUAAAUAUCUGUAAAGCUUGAUCAAAGUUUAUUACUGAAAAAAAAUGUAAGGAUGGUUCAAUUUCAGGCUGUACUCCAUUUUGCUGAGUAUCCGAAUGCUACUUGUUAGCUGGAAAGGGCUCCACAGCUUCGGUGCUGUCAAUAACACUCCAUAGUCCCUAGGUACUUCAUUUAAAUAUGUUAAGAAAGACGCUUUUAAAAAAUGCUUCCAGCAUUUUUGAGGCUGGAUUUCAUUAAUGACUUUGAAUUUAACUGCAUUUAUUGGUAAUUUCUACAAUUACAAUUACCAGUCCCUUGCAGAGAUGGGAGGACAGGCUCUCUUGGCCUCUUGCAGAAGCGACUGUUUCUCUAAUAUAAAAGCACAUCUACAUAAUUCACACAUUCAGAUCCUCAUUACCCUGCAGAUGUGCCUAAGCAGCUACUGCUUUUUUCCUGGGUUUAAAAGAAUUAUCAUGUAUUGAAGAAAACUGAAAGCUGCUUUUAGUAGGCAAAAAGUCUUAGGUAUGUUCUGUUACCAGAAUUCAAGAAUAUUUUCCAGUUAUCUCGUACUGAAGUGUUGUAUAUAUGCUUAGGUAGCACAAGUAACAUUCUCAAUCUCUUUGGAUCAUUUAAAGGCUGUCUGUCUGUCAUUCAUGUAUAUGUCAGUGGAAUUUAAUAACAAGUAACUCUUAAGGGAAUAAAGCAAAAUAUCCCCAAAUUAAUUUGGUGACAGAUUGGCUCAAAAGGCUGCUUGAAAACACAGAUCUUAUUUUUUAUUUUUUUAAAGAGCUCCAAGCCUGCUCUUGGAACCAUAAAAUAGAAUGUUACACCCACAUACAGAUUUGCAUUUGCAAACUUGAUUGUAGAGGCCAAAUUACCUUACUUUUACUUCCCCAAAAUCCUUUUCACAUGUACUAAAUUCAUGUUUUUUAACACGUGAAUAGAAAUGUCUAGAAAUCUUGCAGGCUUUUGAAUGUGUAAAGUAGGAGUUACUAUAAAAAAAAAAAAAAACACCCUUAUCUUUUGAAUAUAAAUGAAACCUAGACCUUAGAAAGGGAAUAACAAUAUGCAAUAGACAUACGUUCAAAACUGAUACAUGGAAAACUUCAGGAGUAGCCUUCAACUGAGUGUCCAUCUGUACUGUACACUGCGCUUUGUGAAUAAAAAUGCCAAUGUAAAAUGUGUCUAUGUACUGUACCAGUUCCAUUGCAUGCACUAAUUGAAGAGUCUGUGCACACUCAUUAAUUCAAAUAUCUUAACUUCUUCGGUGUAUUUUCAUAAUGAACAACCAGGACAUCUUUUAUAGUUAGUCAUGAUAAUAAUAUACUUUGUCCAUGAAACUGCCUAUGAAGGCAGAGAAGGUGCACAAAGGCUUAGCACAUUAUUAACUGCUGCUCUAAAGCAUACAAAGCUUCUUAAUUUCUCUCCAUUGGUGUAUUACUUAACGUAGGUAAGUCAUAUUCACAAUAUUAACGUAUAGGUAAUCAAGAAGCUUAGCGUAGGGCUCUUGCAAAUUAAGAGGUUUUUGUAUUUGUUGGAACUCCACUAGCUGUAAAACAAGUACCUCAGUAUCAAACUCUUUAAAAGCAAUGCUGUACUAGCAUUUCUGAAAGACCGUCAGCCAUGUUCCUAGUUACGUCUGAUGUUUUGUUUUUAAUUAAUUCCUCUCUAUAUUUGUGAGCUUGCUUCUUCAUAUUUAUCAAGAUUUGCAAGCUUUCCAGUAUGGGUAAUUAGUUGCUGGGUUGUGUCAAACCUUAUGGUUUGUUGUUGUUCUUGUUUUUAUUUGAGGAAAACUACAUUUCACUUUUGUUUCUGUCCUUUACAGUGCCAUCGCCAUGGAACUGACUGCCUGCAGAGAUCUUCAGACAAGCUGUCUGCGUGCCCUUUUCAGUAGUGCUCAGAGUUCCUCUUCCUAGGGGCCUGUCCAGUCCCAGGAAGCACACACAGAGGUGGGAGAGAAGAACAUGGAGCAGUGCCCCUUCUCCUGAAUCUGAGAGGAAUGCUUGUGUCAUGGCAGCAGGCUCCAAAGCAGGAUACAGCAUGAGAGAGAUCUUGACUGUAACCACUGCCUGUUGCACCAAUGGAGAGAGAAUACAAGCAACUGUCAAUGAACACUGAUUGCAGAAAAAAUACAACCACCCAAAUCUUCCAAGACACGCUGGGAAAUACAAGUACUGGCUUCCCUAUACUGAAGAACGUGGCUCCACUGUACCAGUAAGUCUGAACAAUAAACUUCUACCUACCAUAGCAAAAUAAGAGAAUCCAUUAACUCUGGCACUACAGAUCAGGAAUUGUUUCACUGUAGCUACGACUUCAGCCUGCCACCUGGAAAACUGGCCUCUGAACUUCCUCUGCAGCACUUCCAAACCAAGGGCAGAAGAGAAAAGAAACACCGAAGAAAUACAGCAUCAGCUGCCUAACAGGGACUGAGAACACUCUCCUCUCUUUAAUUUCAAUUUCUGAUUACUUUUUAGACACCUACAUGCAUCCCGUCACUUCAAAUUAAAAACUUAUUACCACGUUAUUAGCCACAGUCUUUUUCUCAUUGAAGGGAGCAGCAAAUUACUUCCAUCAGAGUUAAUGGAGGCAAGAACAAUGGCUGCUACUGCUGUUGUUAGGCCUCUUCAGCAGUUAAUUCUUGGCCUGCUUCUGAGAAGAAACCAGUUUAGAAAAUUAGGCAGUUUCUUCUUAAGCUGACUAUUGUAUUGGCUCACAUCCAAUUGCUAACUAGACAAAUACAAGUUAGGCACUGAAAGCCCACAGACAGCCUUCUUAUGGUGUAACUUGUUUGCUAGCAGCAAUGUCUAUCUAGUCCACAUACUCCCUGAAAGGAUCACGAGACUUGAUUUAAAAACUCCCAUUCUCUCUGCAACGUAUUCAUAAAUAUGCAUAGAUAUGUAUUAAUAAAGAUAGGAGGGAAGAGUUAAGAUGUAAUAAAUGUUCAAACAUUACUUCUAUUUUUUAAUAAAAAAACUAAUUACAAUUUGAGCAUAAUGAGCACAUAAGAAUUUUUCUUUCACUGAAAUAACACAACUCAUGGGCUAUAGCUUACUUUUGUGUAAUUAGUAAGAUUACUUCAGAGCAAGUGAAGAAACACUACAAGAAAGAAUGAUGUCUGCAAGUAUACAGCAUGUACAAAGGCACAAACAGGUACAUAGUAUGUGCUCAUACAAACAAGGCAAGAAACAGAGCUUCCAGCUGGAGAAACCAGACUGACACUGCCCAGGUCCUUCAGCAGGACGAGUGCCAGACAGUAAUAUUAAGUUCUGUAUACUCCAAAGAGAAAUUGCUCCACCCCAAGACAGAACGUCAAGCAAGACUGUACAUUAUACAUGUGAAGCUAAGUAGGGGAAGACGGACUGUAUUUUCCAUGAACAAAAUGUUAAAUAUCUUCUUUACUAGCAACUUAAAGUGUAAUUUUCUACAUGCAAUUCACUGGGGACUGGUACAUCUUUUUCCCUCCUCUUACAAACAACAAUACCAAAGCCACUUACUUUACCAUACAAAAAUGCCCUAGAUUUCCCCAUUCAUUGAAUUUGCAUCUAUCAAAAAUUCAUGCAAAGAGAAGUAUGAUGAGAAUCAGAAACUCCAGAAUGUGAUAACUGUAAAAAAAAACAAAACAAAACAAAAAAAACAGUAUUUAACUGCAUUCUCCCAGUUCUAAGCCUACCAGCUGAAAUCAGCACAUCACUAGAAAGGAAUGCUCUGAGAACACGCUCUGGAAUUACAGAUUCCAUCCUUUCCCAGAAGCCUUUAUUGAUGCAACAUACAUAAGGCUGAGGCUGACUUGGAAGCCCUGGGCAGAAGCAAUGCUGUAUCUGUAACAGAGACACUCCUUUCCCUCCCAUUACCUUUUGUUAUUGUAAUGUUGGGAAUCCUUUAUGAGGUCGCACCACUCCCACAGUAAAAUAAAUGUUAGCAUGUUAGCCAAGAUAUCAAGUGAAUAUAAAUUAAGAGACCUGGGAAAGAGAUCCCUAUAUUGCUCAAAUUAGUUGCCUUCAGUUCACAGAUCAAGUUGCAUAACUUAUUAUUCACAACAUUGUGUUAUUGCAUAACAUAGAUAUGUGCUCCUUACAUUGUUCAAGCACCAAUUAUACAAGUUAAUUCUGAGAGAGGCCGUACAGGAACCUAGUCUAUCACAUGCACUUACACGUGUGCUGUGCCUAAAAGAUGUAUGCUUUGCAGCUUAUGUAAAAUGAUCAAAGCCACUCAACUCACCCAACAACAAAUAAAGGCAAUUUGUGCAUUGUUCAGGAGGUAAAUAAGGGACGCUCCAGCUCUCUCACAGUUUCUAUGGAUGCAAUUAGUAUCUCAAGGUAGCUACCAAAUUUGCUUAGUCCAAAACGAGCCCGUUACAUAUUAAAACCUAACACAAUAAUAUUUAAAUUCAGCAUUUUGUUCUCCUCAGAAAGCUAAAAUAACAUAAACGGGAACCUGAGUCUAAUUUAACAGAUACAAUAAACUUGACAAUAAGCAACUUGUGGAGCUGCAGUUCCAAAAGAAAAACAUUACAGCACUGAAAAGAGGACUGCAUUUGAAUUCCAGUUUUGCAGGAGAGGAGUUCCCUUCUUGCUGUAUAGGUCACCAGAGUUUAUGAAAGCCUGAAACAGAGUAUA